rnacentral:lncRNA from 1 species
AUGAUCAUGGCCCUCAAACAGGGAAUUACGCACAACACAAUCAGCAUCAGAACCAAAAGAAUCAGUAGAAUCGGUCCAAAAAUCUUCAUCAGAAUGUCAGUCCAUGUGCCAGACCUAAACCAAUCAAACCAGGAUUUGUCCUUCACUACAUCAGCCGCCUGCACAUUGGAUAUGUGCUGUAGGUCACGGAGUGCCUGUUGGCCACUAUUGCACACACUCCACCUUGGCUUGCAGUGAGCAGAUCUAACACCAGGCGGUCCUGUAACUCACGGAGUGUUAGGGCGGUGAGACGACGAUCUAUACUGGCAAGGGCCGUCACCGUGACAUUGAAGAACAGGGUCAUGCGGUAAUUUAUGGUUUCAACUCUUAGCAUGAUUUUUCCUACCCCAACCUUGGAAAUAGGGAUAGUGCCACUUUCUGGCCUGUAGUCCAGAGCUUCUUGUCCAUGGGGACGUCUGAUCCCCAGAUCCGAUCACUUUCCUUCAGAUCAAUCUCUCGCUUCCGUAGCCGUCCCUUGGAAGUCAUCUGCUGUGGUGUUAUCACGUAGGAGCCAUCUGAAACAUAAACAGGGGCACAGCGUCCUACCCAAUUGGGUGGAAGAUGCACAUAGAUUGUGUGUCCACAAACAUAAUUGAUAUCAGACUGUGGAAGAGUCCCCAUGAAAUCAGGACCAUCAUAAUAAGGGACACACUGAACUCCCUUUGGUGCCUCAGAAGUGUUGAAAUGGGUGGCACUGCGAGUGCAAGGCAUCUUCACAGUCUGGCAGUGUUUCAGGGGAACUUCCCCUACUGAGAUGGCUAAAUCCUUAUUCUUUAAAAGAGAAAAGCUGCUGCUCUGGAAACAGUGUCCCUUGAACUGAGGAGGAAAAGGAACAUGAUCAAAUAAGAUGUCUGUGGAGAAGUUGGCACUCAAAAACCGUGUAUAAUUACGACCCUGGUAUGGUGGAGGACGUGGAACUAGUCCUUUCGUUUGACCUCGGAAAGAGGCAUAGAAAGCAUCAGGGGACACCAGUGAACGUAAAGUGUCUGGAUAUAAUUGCUCUCGCUGUGGGUCUACAGGCUGAAUUUGUACAUCGGGGUUCGCAACAGAUUUUGGCAUGUUUCCACACACACAACAGCCACUUUCAGUAAAAUUAUGAGUGCUCUGUUUAGCAAGAAACUUCAUGUAACGAUACCACGAGUUAGUGUGAUACUGGUCAGGAGGUCUCUCCUCUCUCAUCCUCGAUGAGGUCAGGGAG